GUUUCGGGGCGGAGUGAAAUUCUCCACCGGCGGUGAAAGUCCGCGAGCCUUUUGGGUUGAACCGGUGCAAUUCCGGUACCGACGGUAUAGUCCGGAUGAAAGAAU
rnacentral:ncRNA from 1 species